GCUCUUUCUGCUGGGGGAUCUCAGAGAUGCACAGCUGCACACCCCCACUCGCUCCAACGUCAAGCAGCGGUUGCUCUUGAGACGAGUUGCAGGUGCUCUACAGGCCCACACUGGGCCUGUCCACAUCUCAGAUACCAUAGCAAGCUAAUUCAGACUCCAGGCCCUAAAGUUAAGCCCUCAUAUACGCCUCUCCUGUCACCAGCUCAGCUACCAUAGAGAAUAGGCCCUAUCCUGACCCCUGAGCCACUUGAACAAGCACAUGCCUAUGUACUCUUUUGUGCCUCCCCAGCUUACUUCACAAGCACCCUUACCUCAAAAACAAUGUGGCAGUGGGAAUGCCUGCGCCCCAGGUACCAGCGCUAUUGACCCCCAGACCCCAGAGUUCUAUAGUCCCUCCAAAUGUUCCUUUGCUCAGGCUUCAGCUCCAUGGCUAUUCCAUGGGCCCUACUCAUCAGACCCCAGUACCACUGCAAAAUAGUGCACAAGCCAGACCUUGUGCCAAGAGGGAUCUUCUAAGUUACAACCUCACUAGAAGAAGAAAAAUAUCAGCAGGAUCUCAGCAACCAUUCAAAUAUAGCUAGUCCAACCCAGAAGCCAAAAUUUAAACUUUAAUUAAGUAGCCACAUGUGACUAGUAUCUACUUCACCGGACAAUAUAGUGCCAGGUUCCCAGUUGAAUGAAAAAAACAGCUUCAACAAGAGAAUCUUUACUAUAACCAUAUAAACAUGGAAUCCUAGAGAGAGUAUGACAAUGAUAUCUGCUUUGUAAGCUAGAAGCAGCAUGUUAUUUCCAGAAAGUUCUAAGAUUGAAAUGGUAACACUGUCCUUCUACCAUUAUUAUAAGUAAACUCCACACAUUUGCUUUCUAAAUAUAUUAUAGGGAAUAAAACCCUAAUUAUGUUUUGUUAUAGAUGACUACUCACAUGAUGUUUGACAUGUACAAAGCAUGGCCCCGUAUUUUAGCAUCUGUUUCUUGCAUUCAUUGAGAAGUUGUCAUUAAUCCCAUAAUUGAUAGCUUAGAGUACCUGGGAGACUUGCUCAGUGGUCACAGCUGGUAAAUGGUGAGGUACCCCUGGUUUUGUGAUUUCCAAUUCUGUUUUCUUCUUCACUUUUUACUAUUAUUUUUUAUAUGAAGGAAGGAAGAUCUCUACCAAGAUUUCUCUGUUUCUAUAAACAAUGAUGUUUUUAAAAGUAUUUAAAGAUUUAUGCCAAUUUGGGAAUAUAACAAGUAUCAUAAUCCUUUUUCACUCAUAUAAUCUCAAUAAUUUUAUAAUUAUAAUUGCCACUGAUUACAUACAAAGAAAAAUUAGCAAAUAAAAAGAGGAUCAAGAGCCAAUUCCUGGCUCCAUUACUUACUAGGCAUAUGAACUUGGCUAACUAAGUCUACUAAUUCUUUUAAGUUUCAGAUGCUUCAUCUGAAAAUGUGUGAACAAACAUUUCAAAAGCUAAAGGUGAUUGAGAAAUAAGGCCCUGGAAAUUAGAAUGCUAUUCAAUCAUUUGGCUGUAACUACAGUAAUAAAACAUAAAAUCAAUGCACCACCUCCCAAACACACUGAUCACCAUCAGCAGCCAGGACUUCGACAAAAACCUUCACAAAGCCUUCCGGGAUUCCUUCUUGAUUGUGAGCAUUGGACAAGCAUUGCCAAAUAUAUUAUUCUAUUUUUUGUAGAGGCAAGUCAUGAAAAUUUCAUCAAUGGAAACAUUUUUCAAAUUGUUAUUGAUCAUUAAGGUCUGUGCUGAUGUGGUAACUGAAACAAGCAGCAUCCUGUUUGAAAAGUCUUACCUUGGCAGCCUGACACCAGGGUAUCUAAGUUCACAACAGUGGUAUUAAGAUUCUAUGCCACAAGAACUGCAAACCUACC
rnacentral:lncRNA from 1 species